rnacentral:rRNA from 1 species
AUUGAACGCUGGCGGCAGGCCUAACACAUGCAAGUCGAGCGGAUGAAGGGAGCUUGCUCCUGGAUUCAGCGGCGGACGGGUGAGUAAUGCCUAGGAAUCUGCCUGGUAGUGGGGGAUAACGUCCGGAAACGGGCGCUAAUACCGCAUACGUCCUGAGGGAGAAAGUGGGGGAUCUUCGGACCUCACGCUAUCAGAUGAGCCGAGGUCGGAUUAGCUAGUUGGUGGGGUAAAGGCCUACCAAGGCGACGAUCCGUAACUGGUCUGAGAGGAUGAUCAGGCACACUGGAACUGAGACACGGUCCAGACUCCUACGGGAGGCAGCAGUGGGGAAUAUUGGACAAUGGGCGAAAGCCUGAUCCAGCCAUGCCGCGUGUGUGAAGAAGGUCUUCGGAUUGUAAAGCACUUUAAGUUGGGAGGAAGGGCAGUAAGUUAAUACCUUGCUGUUUUGACGUUACCAACAGAAUAAGCACCGGCUAACUUCGUG